GACGAACGCUGGCGGCGUGCUUAACACAUGCAAGUCGAACGGAAAGGCCCUGCUUUUGUGGGGUGCUCGAGUGGCGAACGGGUGAGUAACACGUGAGUAACCUGCCCUUGACUUUGGGAUAACUUCAGGAAACUGGGGCUAAUACCGGAUAGGAGCUCCUGCUGCAUGGUGGGGGUUGGAAAGUUUCGGCGGUUGGGGAUGGACUCGCGGCUUAUCAGCUUGUUGGUGGGGUAGUGGCUUACCAAGGCUUUGACGGGUAGCCGGCCUGAGAGGGUGACCGGCCACAUUGGGACUGAGAUACGGCCCAGACUCCUACGGGAGGCAGCAGUGGAGAAUAUUGCACAAUGGGCGGAAGCCUGAUGCAGCAACGCCGCGUGCGGUAUGACGGCCUUCGGGUUGUAAACCGCUUUCGCCUGUGACGAAGCGUGAGUGACGGUAAUGGGUAAAGAAGCACCGGCUAACUACGUG
rnacentral:rRNA from 1 species